ACGUAGGGACCAAGCGUUGUCCGGAAUCGUUGGGCGUAAAGAGCGUGUAGGCGGCUGGUUAAGUCUUGCGUGAAAUCUCGGGGCUCAACCCCGAGCGGUCGUGAGAAACUGGCAGGCUAGAGUGCGGGAGAGGAGAGUGGAAUUCCUGGUGUAGCGGUGAAAUGCGCAGAUAUCAGGAAGAACACCCGUGGCUAAGGCGGCUCUCUAGUACGGUACUGACGCUGAGACGCGAAAGCGUGGGGAGCGAACAGGA
rnacentral:rRNA from 1 species